UACGAAGGGGGCUAGCGUUGCUCGGAAUCACUGGGCGUAAAGCGCACGUAGGUGGAUCGCUAAGUCAGGGGUGAAAUCCUGGAGCUCAACUCCAGAACUGCCUUUGAUACUGGCAAUCUCGAGUCCGGGAGAGGUGAGUGGAACUGCGAAGUGUAGAGGUGAAAUUCGUAGAUAUUCGCAAGAACACCAGUGGCGAAGGCGGCUCACUGGCCCGGUACUGACGCUGAGGUGCGAAAGCGUGGGGAGCAAACAGG
rnacentral:rRNA from 1 species